rnacentral:rRNA from 1 species
UGUGACCUCAAAUCAGGUAGGACUACCCGCUGAACUUAAGCAUAUCAAUAAGCGGAGGAAAAGAAACUAACAAGGAUUCCCCUAGUAACUGCGAGUGAAGCGGGAAAAGCUCAAAUUUAAAAUCUGGCAGUCUUUUGGCUGUCCGAGUUGUAAUCUAGAGAAGUGUUAUCCGC